AACACAAAUUGUACUUUCCAGUAUUCUGGGAAGUAUGCUUGGUUGAGGGUCAUUAAAAUAACAUUCGUGAAAUUUUUUGCGGAUUUGAGUUUUCCAGUGUUUAUUAAAAUGUUGGUAACUUUAAAAUUAUUAUUACUUGGUACAAGUUGAAAACGUUCUAUAUGUGUGGUUCGCUGACAACUUGUCCAUCAUCAUAUAUUAUGCGUGCACUUGGUUUUUUUAAGCUUUGUUCGAGUAUAUAUUUUUUUUUAUGACCUCAGCUCAAGUAAGAAUACCCGCUGAACUUAA
rnacentral:misc_RNA from 1 species